rnacentral:rRNA from 1 species
UACGGAGGGUGCGAGCGUUAAUCGGAAUUACUGGGCGUAAAGCGCACGCAGGCGGUUGAUUGAGUCAGAUGUGAAAUCCCCGGGCUUAACUUGGGAAUUGCAUCUGAAACUGGUUGGCUAGAGUCUUGUAGAGGGGGGUAGAAUUCCAUGUGUAGCGGUGAAAUGCGUAGAGAUGUGGAGGAAUACCGGUGGCGAAGGCGGCCCCCUGGGAUAACACUGACGUUCAUGCCCGAAAGCGUGGGUAGCAAACAGG